rnacentral:rRNA from 1 species
UACGUAGGGUCCGAGCGUUGUCCGGAAUUACUGGGCGUAAAAAGCUCGUAGGUGGUUUGUCGCGUUGUUCGUGAAAACUCACAGCUCAACUGUGGGCGUGCGGGCGAUACGGGCAGACUUGAGUACUGCAGGGGAGACUGGAAUUCCUGGUGUAGCGGUGGAAUGCGCAGAUAUCAGGAGGAACACCGGUGGCGAAGGCGGGUCUCUGGGCAGUAACUGACGCUGAGGAGCGAAAGCGUGGGGAGCGAACAGG